GCUCCGUUGGUGAACCAGCGGAGGGAUCAUUACCGAGUUUACAACUCCCAAACCCCUGUGAACAUACCAUUUGUUGCCUCGGCGGUGCCUGCUUCGGCAGCCCGCCAGAGGACCCAAACCCUUGAUUUUAUACAGUAUCUUCUGAGUAAAUGAUUAAAUAAAUCAAAACUUUCAACAACGGAUCUCUUGGUUCUG
rnacentral:misc_RNA from 1 species